rnacentral:rRNA from 1 species
GGAUGAAACGCUGGCGGUCUGCUUAAACACAUGCAAAGUCGAAACGAACUCUUCGGAGUGAGUGGCGGACGGGUGAGUAAACGCGUGAGAAUCUGGCUGUGGGUCGGGGACAAACCACUGGAAAACGGUGGCUAAUACCGGAUGAGCCGAAAAGGUAAAAGAUUUAUUGCCCACAGAUGAGCUCGCGUCUGAUUAGCUAGUUGGUAAAGGUAAAAAGCGUACCAAGGCGACGAUCAGUAGCUGGUCUGAGAGGAUGAGCAGCCACACUGGGACUGAGACACGGCCCAGACUCCUACGGGA